GGGCAUUUUUCCAAAGGAAGGGAAAUCUCAUGGUUUCAGUUUUAAGAAUAGAACCUGAAUGAUUGCAUUGUUGUGAGGAGAGGCACAGUCUGGGAGCCACAUGUCUUAAAGACUGGAAUUGAUUCUUUUCUGCUUUCCAUGAGCCAAAUACUCUGUUAAUCUGUUCUUGGUAAUUCCAGGCUUUCCUACUACAUUAACCAAAUCAAGAAUAAGAAAGAAACCAAACUUUCAGUAAACCAAAGCAUCCAGUAACAAACAAAGCAUCCAGUAAACUACCUUUAGAUAGAUACUGCUUAUGAAACUGGUUUUUAGAAGGUACCAGGAUGGGACACUGUGCCUUUAAGGUUCUCUUCACUGAAAUAGAAGUGAUGCUGGCUCUCUGCCUUAGCAGGCUUUUUGGGCAUAGGCUCUGCUGAAUCAAACAAGACCUCACAUGCAAUUGCUUUAGAUGCCCACACCUACCCUCAGCUCUGGGUGACAGCUGACAACACCAUUUCCACAAGAGACUUUCCAGAGAAGUAACUUACGGUUUCCUGGGCCUUUGAUUUUUUUUUUUUUAUUUUUUUUUUUUCCCUUUUUUAUGGACAUGUGAUAGCGAAAGCAGAUACGUGAUUUCCAAAGGAUCUGAAUAAAAGUUCUCUUUACUUCAGAUGUAGGGCCAAAGAAACCUCUAUGUAUUGUUCCCACCUCAUUUCUUCAUCCUUCUUGAAAACUCUGGUUUAGGCUGGUUUUGGUAGCUGGUGUUACUCACCAACAGCUUUGCUUCAAAUAAAGUUUUAUUCUCUUGAGAAAGUAGUUUACCACUUUGUCAUCUGCAAUUAAAAGGAUGAUUGAAUCUUUAUCUUAUAAGGACGAGUCAUGUAUCAGUGUUCUCUUGGGAUUUAGAUGCAGUUAUGCAUGCUCUGAUGAAUCUGUGAGGAGAACUUACCACUUGCCUCCUCUUUCUGUCCAGGCUGCCUUUCUGUUGCUGGUACCUGCCCCCCAAACAUGGGCCCAUGUCUCAGUUAACUUCUUACAGUCUGUUACGUUUUCAGAUUGAUCAGGCUAAUACAAGUUUGUACUCAUCUUCUCAGAUGUGUUAGCUCAGUUUAAGCUAAUACAUGGCAUUCCAGAGUAUACCAGCCUUGUUCAACUGAAUUUACAAUGAUGAAGGUAACUUUGUAAAAAGUAGAUGGCAUACUGGAGAGAUCAAUGUCUCAGACUGUCCUAUCAAGGCAUCUAGGUGACAUCUGUCAGCACACUCGGGCUCUAAGACUGAGCAAACACUGUCAUUCUUUUCCUCCUGUUCUGGGGAUUUGAAUUUGGUCCCAGCCCUUUCAGACAAUUUGGAUUGGUUUUUCGAUCCCUUUUCCCUAAGGCAUUUGUGUUUGAAAGAGUCACCAAAUUUUAAAAACAAUCCUUUCUGGGCUAGUACAGCUACAAACAUUCAGUGCCACAUCGAGUGUGGCACAGUGAAAGAUCAAUCCUACAGCAUCAACAAGAAAAUGGUAAAUGUUUUAAUGCAAAUAUUCAAGAAUUAUGUGUCUGGACUCCAGACUAGCUUAUCUUUCCAAGGGAAGAGUUAAACUACUCCUUUGUGAGCUCAGUUCACUCUGGCAAUGGCACUUCACUGGCUCCUUUCUGCAGCAGCACAGUAGAGCCUUUUGUAAUGCUCUCAAUGGCAAUACUUGUAAACUGUUUUCUUCCUGAAGUGUUUUUUACUGUUUUGGUUUUUUUUUGGGGGGGUAUAAUUAUAUUUGGCCUUUAAUAAUGCUGCUUUCAAAUAAACCCCGCAAAACCAUAGAUAAUAACUAAGGAUUUGUUAAGAUAGAUGCUGUUCCAACAUUUUUCGGUGGGAUAUGGUAUAACCUUGUGUCAAAAUAGGUUUGAUUCCAGGACUGUUGAGUACUGAAUGAAAUCUGUGAACACUGGCUAAUAAAUUACUAAAGAC
rnacentral:lncRNA from 1 species